GACGAACGCUGGCGGCGUGCCUAACACAUGCAAGUCGAACGGAACUGUUUUGAAAGUUUUCUUCGGAAUGAAUUUGAUUUCGUUUAGUGGCGGACGGGUGAGUAACGCGUGAGUAACCUGCCUUCAAGAGGGGAAUAACAUUCUGAAAAGAAUGCUAAUACCGCAUGACAUAUCGGAACCACAUGGUUUUGAUAUCAAAGAUUUUAUCGCUUGAAGAUGGACUCGCGUCCGAUUAGUUAGUUGGUGAGGUAACGGCUCACCAAGACUGCGAUCGGUAGCCGGAGUGCGGAGUUGAGCGGCCACAUUGGAACUGAGGCACGGCCCAGACACCUACGGGAAGGAGCAGUGGGGGGUAGUGCGCAAUGGGGGCAAGCCUGACGCAGCAACGCCGCGUAAAGGAUGAAUGUUUUCGGAUUGUAAACUUCUUUUAUUAAGGACGAAAAAUGACGGUACUUAAUGAAUAAGCCCCGGCUAACUACGUG
rnacentral:rRNA from 1 species